GACGUAGGGCGCGAGCGUUGUCCGGAUUUAUUGGGCGUAAAGAGCCCGUAGGCGGCUUGUUGCGUCAGCUGUGAAAACCCGCAGCUCAACUGUGGGCUUGCAGCUGAUACGGGCAGGCUUGAGUUCGGUAGGGGAGACUGGAAUUCCUGGUGUAGCGGUGAAAUGCGCAGAUAUCUGGAGGAACACCGGUGGCGAAGGCGGCAUCCUGGACCAACACUGACGCUGAGUGAGCGAAAGCCAGGGGAGCAAACGGG
rnacentral:rRNA from 1 species